GCAUAUCAAUAAGCGGAGGAAAAGAAACCAACAGGGAUUGCCCCAGUAACGGCGAGUGAAGCGGCAACAGCUCAAAUUUGAAAUCUGGCCCCCAGGGUCCGAGUUGUAAUUUGUAGAGGAUGAUUUUGGCGCGGCGCCUUCCGAGUUCCCUGGAACGGGACGCCAUAGAGGGUGAGAGCCCCGUCUGGUUGGAUGCCUAGCCUCUGUAAAUCUCCUUCGACGAGUCGAGUAGUUUGGGAAUGCUGCUCUAAAUGGGAGGUAUAUGUCUUCUAAAGCUAAAUAUUGGCCAGAGACCGAUAGCGCACAAGUAGAGUGAUCGAAAGAUGAAAAGCACUUUGAAAAGAGGGUUAAAUAGUACGUGAAAUUGUUGAAAGGGAAGCGCUUGUGACCAGACUUGGGCCCGGUUAAUCAUCCAGUGUUCUCACUGGUGCACUUUGCCGGCCCAGGCCAGCAUCAGUUCGCCUUGGGGGAUAAAGGUUUCGGGAAUGUGGCUCCCUCGGGAGUGUUAUAGCCCGUUGCGUAAUACCCUGGGGCGGACUGAGGUUCGCGUUCGCAAGGAUGCUGGCGUAAUGGUCAUCAGCGACCCGUCUUGAAACACGGACCAAGGAGUCGUCUUCGUAUGCGAGUGUUCGGGUGUCAAACCCCUACGCGUAAUGAAAGUGAACGCAGGUGAGAGCUUCGGCGCAUCAUCGACCGAUCCUGAUGUUCUCGGAUGGAUUUGAGUAAGAGCAUACGGGGCCGGACCCGAAAGAAGGUGAACUAUGCCUGUAUAGGGUGAAGCCAGAGGAAACUCUGGUGGAGGCUCGCAGCGGUUCUGACGUGCAAAUCGAUCGUCAAAUAUGGGCAUGGGGGGCGAAAGACUAAUCGAACCUUCUAGUAGCUGGGUUUCCGCCGAAGU
rnacentral:rRNA from 1 species